rnacentral:snRNA from 1 species
GGAGGUGAGUGUCUUCUGUCUGUGAUGGCACGAAACUGGACAUUGAUUGCUUUCACGUUGGUACGCUGAUCUGUCAGUGGCUCCCGUCACAACUAGGUAGAUAAUUGGUAGCUCAUGAGCGAGUUCCAAAUUACUCGGGCGACGGACGGGUCCACACUUGUGAGCUCUCCUUUGGCUACCAAAGUCUGCCAACUUUCAAGAUUGUUGGUUAUCUCUUACUUACUUAGCUUAGCUUCGGACUUCGGUUUCAAUUUUUAAUUUUUAAG